UGGUAUCUUCGUUGAGGAGUCAUUCUUAGCAAGUAUAACCUUACUAAGAGGAAUUGACAUGGAAUUACGUAAUGUGUGUUUUGUCAUCAGGAUGAAACAAUAAAACACUUGUUUUUCCAAUGCAAAUUGGCUCGUUCUAUAUGGCCAGUCAUCCAACUAGUUUCUGGCGUGUAUCUUUCAUGUAGUGUUUCUAAUAUAUUUGUCACUGGUUACAUGAGAUAUAAUACAUGUUUAGAAUUCUUCUCAGGAUGGAGCGCUUGCCACUAUAUACUCACUUUGGCUAUGUAG
rnacentral:rRNA from 1 species